GCCUUGGUGGUCGAAUUGGUCAGACGCUCGCCUAGAGUGCAGAGAGGCCCAGGUUCGAACCCUGGCUGAGGUA